rnacentral:rRNA from 1 species
CACGUAGGGGGCGAGCGUUGUCCGGAUUUAUUGGGGCGUAAAGAGCUCGUAGGCGGCUCAGUAAGUCAGGUGUGAAAAACUCCAGGCUCAACCUGGAGAACGCCACUUGAUACUGCUGUGGCUAGAGUUCGGCAGGGGAGACUGGAAUUCCUGGUGUAGCGGUGAAAUGCGCAGAUAUCAGGAGGAACACCGGUGGCGGAAGG